GGACUACCCGGGUAUCUAAUCCUGUUUGCUCCCCUAGCUUUCGCAGCUCAGCGUCAGUGAUGGCCCAGAAGCCUGCUUUCGCCAUAGGUAUUCCUCCCGAUCUCUACGCAUUUCACCGCUACACCGGGAAUUCCAGCUUCCUCUACCACACUCUAGCCGGGUAGUUUCCCUUGGCCUCUCCCAGUUGAGCCGGGAGCUUUCACAAGAGACUUACCCAACCACCUACCUGCGCUUUACGCCUAGUGAUUCCGAGUAACGCUUGCCACCUACGUAUUACCGCGGCUGCUGGCAC
rnacentral:rRNA from 1 species